rnacentral:rRNA from 1 species
CGCAGGCGGUUCGGUAAGUCGGUCUUAAAAGUGCGGGGCUUAACCCCGUGAUGGGAUUGAAACUGCCGGACUGGAGUGUCGGAGAGGAAAGCAGAAUUCCUAGUGUAGCGGUGAAAUGCGUAGAUAUUAGGAGGAAUACCAGUGGCGAAAGCGGCUUUCUGGACGACAACUGACGCUGAGGCGCGAAAGCCAGGGGAGCAAACG